AUUGAACGCUGGCGGCAUGCCUUACACAUGCAAGUCGAACGGCAGCGCGGGAGCAAUCCUGGCGGCGAGUGGCGAACGGGUGAGUAAUAUAUCGGAACGUGCCCAGUAGUGGGGGAUAGCCCGGCGAAAGCCGGAUUAAUACCGCAUGAGACCUGAGGGUGAAAGCGGGGGAUCGCAAGACCUCGCGCUAUUGGAGCGGCCGAUGUCAGAUUAGCUAGUUGGUGGGGUAAAGGCUCACCAAGGCGACGAUCUGUAGCGGGUCUGAGAGGAUGAUCCGCCACACUGGGACUGAGACACGGCCCAGACUCCUACGGGAGGCAGCAGUGGGGAAUUUUGGACAAUGGGGGCAACCCUGAUCCAGCCAUGCCGCGUGAGUGAAGAAGGCCUCGG
rnacentral:rRNA from 1 species